GACAGCAGUCAGAACAAUUGGAAAGCAUCAAGGAUUUAAGGAGACAUUGCUUGGAAUCUGAGAUUCCACCUACCAAGAAAGAUCAGGAAGGUGAAUAUCAGUCGCUGUCCCACAAGGACCAGGCCUUAUAUGAAGUGUGUGACCGCUCCCAAAGAACAAGAAGGAAAUGAAGAAUGAAGGAGAGGAUACGAAGAAGAACCGAUAAAAGGGGAAGAAGGCUGUUUGAGCAAAACUGAAAUGCAUUUUAAUUUUUACAGUUUCACAUCCUUUCAAAAUAAACUUAUAAGAGCGGACCACCACCACCUCUACUCACU